rnacentral:tRNA from 1 species
GGGAAGGUGGCUCAGUGGUAGAGCUCUUGCCUUCCAUGCCAGAGGCCCUGGGUUCAAUUCCCCAUAACUG